rnacentral:lncRNA from 1 species
GGUGACCCCAAGGGAGACACCAACCCUCUCUCCGAGCCCCUCCCCCACCCAGCUCAGCUCAACAAAGUGCACCCCAGAGGGGGCCACAGCCAAGACAGAGCUCCCUGAACUCCGACUCAGUCCUGAUGGCCCAGGCACUUCAGCCAUGAUGUACCUCUGCAUAAUAGCCAGAAGAGCAAUGGGACCAAUCAGUUAUGAACCAGGUCCUGAGACACUGUGAGCCAGGAAAACCUUUUCCUCUCAUGAGCCUGUCUCUCUCCAGUAUUCAUUGUACUGACAGGAAGC